AGCGAACGUUAGCGGCGGGCCUAACACAUGCAAGUCGAGCGAGAAAGUGGCUUCGGCCAUCAGUAAAGCGGCGGACGGGUGAGUAACACGUAGGUAAUCUUCCCUUGAGCGGGGGACAACAGUUCGAAAGGACUGCUAAUACCGCAUAAGUUUCUGGGGUCUCCGGACUCUGGAAGGAAAGCUAGGUAGCAAUAUCCGGCACUCGAGGAGGAGCCUGCGUCGCAUCAGCUAGUUGGUGGGGUAAUGGCCUACCAAGGCUAAGACGCGUAG
rnacentral:rRNA from 1 species